GACGAACGCUGGCGGCGUGCCUAAUACAUGCAAGUAGAACGCUGAAGGAGGAGCUUGCUUCUCUGGAUGAGUUGCGAACGGGUGAGUAACGCGUAGGUAACCUGCCUGGUAGCGGGGGAUAACUCUUGGAAACGAUAGCUAAUACCGCAUAAGAGUUGAUGUCGCAUGACAUUUGCUUAAAAGGUGCAAUUGCAUCACUACCAGAUGGACCUGCGUUGUAUUAUCUAGUUGGUGAGGUAACGGCUCAACAAGGCAACGAUACAUAGCCGACCUGGGAGGGUGAUCGGCCACACUGGGAAUGAGACACGGCCCAGAACUCUAAGGGAGGGAGCAGGAGGGAAACUUCGGGAAUGGACGGAAGGCUGAACGAGGAAAGCCGGGUGAGUGAAGAAGGGUGUCGGAUCGGAAAGAUCUGUUGUAAGAGAAGAAAGAGUGGGAGAGUGGAAAGUGCACACUGUGACGGUAUCUGACCAGAAAGGGACGGCUAACUACGUG
rnacentral:rRNA from 1 species